AGAAGAAGAAGGUUUUCUAAUGUCGGUCACUGGAAACAGAUUGUUGGACGCAUCAGGAAUUGCUUCACGUAUUCCUUGUGUGCCGCUGAUUCCAGAUUUACUGGAGGUGCAAUGGCCAACUACGGCUUAAUGUACCCAUGGUGCCAUGGUCAAAUUCGGAAUAUUGAAUAAACGUAGCGAGUGGUUAUACAAAUUUAGUUUUCAGAGCAAUUGGAGCUGCCCGGAGUCUAACUUCUCAUAAGAUUUCAAGAUUAUCCAAUUAACAACAUCCGGUUCUGGGAACAAUGACGACUUCCAUCCUGAUCGGAUGUAUAAACAGAAACAGGAAAUGGGAGAUGAUUUCCAAAUUAUCUGUUGUGGGCCUUUUACGAAUGAAACAAGUGCUGAAUAUGUGCAGAGGGUAUUCGUUUGACGACUCGGUAGUUUCUCCGAUAGAGAAUACAAAUUAAAACAUGAAAUGAAAGAAGAUUCCCAGACCGCCUGCUGGAAUGAGGUAAAUGUUUGUG